UACGUAGGGUGCGAGCGUUAAUCGGAAUUACUGGGCGUAAAGGGCGCGUAGGCGGCCUUCUAAGUCGAACGUGAAAUCCCCGGGCUCAACCCGGGAACUGCGUCCGAUACUGGAAGGCUUGAAUCCGGGAGAGGGAUGUGGAAUUCCAGGUGUAGCGGUGAAAUGCGUAGAUAUCUGGAGGAACACCGGUGGCGAAGGCGACAUCCUGGACCGGUAUUGACGCUGAGGCGCGAAAGCCAGGGGAGCAAAGCGG
rnacentral:rRNA from 1 species